rnacentral:rRNA from 1 species
AAUAGAUACCCAGGUAGUCCACGCCGUAAACGAUGGAUGCUAGCUGUUGGCCGUAUCGACCCGGUCAGUAGCGAAGUUAACGCGUUAAGCAUCCCGCCUGGGGAGUACGGUCGCAAGAUUAAAACUCAAAGGAAUUGACGGGGCUCCGCACAAGCAGUGGAGCGUGUUGUUUAAUUGGAUGAUAAGCCAAGAACCUUACCAGGGUUUGACAUCCUAGGAAUUUCUUCGAAAGAAGAGAGUGCUUUAUUGAACCUAGUGACAGGUGUUGCAUGGCCGUCGUCAGCUCGUGUCGUGAGACGUUAGGUUAAGUCCUUCAACGAGCGCAACCCCUAUGGCUAGUUGUAUUUUUCUAGUCAGACUGCCUCGGUAACGGGGAGGAAGGAGGGGAUGAUGUCAGGUCCGUAUUACCCUUACACCCUGGGCUACAAACGCGCUACAAUGGCCGGUACAAUGGGCAGCCAAGUCGUGAGACGGAGCAAAUCCCAUCAAAGCCGGUCCCAGUUCGGAUUGCAGGCUGAAACUCGCCUGCAUGAAGUCGGAAUUG